ACCACACUGGUCUGGAAAGGAGGCUGUUUGUUAAUGCAAUAUUAGCUCAUAAAUUGUGCGACGGGAUUUGAUGGGUUCUCUCAAAUGUUUUUCUUUUUUCUCUGGUUGAGACCUAACAUUGUUAGGAUUUGAAAAUCCAACCAUUGUUUUAGACAGAGCCGGCGCUCGGGGGCUGAGUGUGGCUGUGCGUGCGUGUGGGUGUUUGAGUGAGAAAGACACAGAGGAGAGCCAACCAAUAAAAGCACAGCCUCCUUCAUUAUUGACGCAUUGUGCCGACAACAUCAAAGAGCCAUUCCAGACUGAGGUCAGGAGGACUUCGAGAGUUAGGUGUUAGCCAGACUAAUGAUUAACUGCAAUGGAAAAGUAAUUGUUUGUCUGCUUUACUAGAGAUUGCUCAGGUCCUCCAUUUUAAACCCGGACUGCUUGGGGAAACUCACUGAGAACUGUAUCGCGGUCUUCAAGGACAAAAGACUUUGCUUCGCCAGCCGAGAGAAGCAGGCCCAAUAUCUUCUCUUUCAAGUGCAGAUACACAAGGUGACAUCGCUUUAAGACUUCUGCCAGUGGUCCUCCCAACACCAGGCUACAAGAUUGAUUGGCAGGAAGACAUUCCCACCACCUUCAAAGAGACCAGAAAGUCCUUAAUUGGCUUGCAGCCUGUUGGGACCAACAUGGUUGAGUACCUGCGCCAGGUGGAGGAGACCAGACCCUAACCAUUUAUGUUGGCUCUUGGGGACUGCUCACAGGUGUUUACAGUCAUUAGUGGACAGGCAUUGGAGCAAGGUACAUUGCUUGAGGCACUGGAUGUAUGCUUCAAGUCAUCAUAUUAUGUGUUUGAUAUCCAUUUUCCUACAGACCACAGUGUAUCAGCUGCCAGGAACAGAAUCCCCCGCUGUAAGACAGUUGCGAGCAUGUUUUUUCCCCACUGAACAAUAGUGGAUAAGUAUCUGUUCUUGUGUGUAGUGUGAGAAGUGUUCCUGUGAAUUAAUAGAUCAAUGGAUGGAUGAGCCAUGAGUGUCUCUGAUUCAGAGAGGUUGGGUUAAAUGCGGAAGACACAUUUCUGUUGAAUGCAUUCAGUUGUGCAACUGACUAGGUAUCCCCCUUUCCCUUCCCCUUCAUAGUGCAAUGCUAAUAUGCUCUUAAGGCACUAUUUAUAGCUCUGUUAAAAGGACUUUUAGUUUGUUUUAAUGCAUUUGUGCCUACUUUUUGCCUACUGUACAGUAUGUGCUUGUUUGCCUUUAGUUCCACUACUGUUGCACAAAUCUUUAUAUAUUUGUAUGAUUAAUAUAUAUAUAUAUAUGGUCACGACUUCCUCCGAGGCUGCCUCCUCUUCUUGUUCGGGCAGGCUUCGG